CAGUCGCCGCGGUAAUACAGAGGGUGCGAGCGUUAAUCGGAUUUACUGGGCGUAAAGCGUGCGUAGUCGGCUUUUUAAGUCGGAUGUGAAAUCCCUGAGCUUAACUUAGGAAUUGCAUUCGAUACUGGGAAGCUAGAGUAUGGGAGAGGAUGGUAGAAUUCCAGGUGUAGCGGUGAAAUGCGUAGAGAUCUGGAGGAAUACCGAUGGCGAAGGCAGCCAUCUGGCCUAAUACUGACGCUGAGGUACGAAAGCAUGGGGAGCAAACAGGAUUAGAGACCCCGGUAGUCCCUGUCUCUUAUAC
rnacentral:rRNA from 1 species